rnacentral:ncRNA from 1 species
UUUUUUACGCAUAAUAGACCACCUCUAUACAUUUUACUGUUCCUAUUAAAUUUGAAACAGGUAUAGAAAAACGUGUUAUAUAGUUUGUGAGUUCCUAAGGUUUAUAUAUUAAUACAAGCACUACUCAACUCCAAUAAAAAAAAGCCGUUGUUUGGUAGUGCUAUUUGUGCUGUAAAAACGUAAUUCUCACUUUCAAAUGGCGGUUCGUUGGAGGUCGAAGUUGCCAUGAGAUA